UUCCCCUUCACUUCCAGAAAAUUCUUUUCAGCUAAUAUAACGCUCCAGGCACAAGAACCAACCAACCUCUGAGCCCUUCAACGCCAGGAUCACCAAACAUCACGAAUCGUGCGAGGACUAAAACGUUUGUAGGUACUCUUAGGAAUACUGGAUACACUAGGAUUGAGGAGGAUAACACAAGAUGUAUUCCGUCCGCCAACCCCUACGCAAAUCUCAAGCAGGAUCGUUUCGUUGCCCGACGACUCUACACCCACUUCAGUACUCCCAGCCCUUCUCACUCCGCUCCUCAUUAUAAUCAAUAAUUUUAAUCAAUUAUUGAUCAUUCUGGGGGACGUGAAAAGCAUACAUGGAUUCCCCUUCACUUCCAGAAAAUUCUUUUCAGCUAAUAUAACGCUCCAGGCACAAGAACCAACCAACCUCUGAGUCCUUCAACGCCAGGAUCACCAAACAUCACGAAUCGUGCGAGGACUAAAACGUUUGUAGGUACUCUUAGGAAUACUGGAUACACUAGGAUUGAGGAGGAUAACACAAGAUGUAUUCCGUCCGCCAACCCCUACGCAAAUCUCAAGCAGGAUCGUUUCGUUGCCCGACGACUCUACACCCACUUCAGUACUCCCAGCCCUUCUCACUCCGCUCCUCAUUAUAAUCAAUAAUUUUUAUCAAUUAUUGAUCAUUCUGGGGGACGUGAAAAGCAUACAUGGAUUCCCCUUCAC